rnacentral:lncRNA from 1 species
CCCGCGCCCCUACCAGGCGGAGCAGGCAGCCCCACAGCAGGGCGGCCGCGGGCCCGGGCGGCCUCGGCCGCGCCCCCAUGGGCUGUGGGUCGGGUGGGCGCGGGACUGCGCGCGGUGCUCGGCUCGAUCUGCCCGGGGCUCGGCGGCGCUGCUCGGUGGCCGGCACGGCGCGACUUCCUCUUCCGGCCCCGCCCUGGGCGCGGGAAACCCCGCGUGGGCUGGGCGCCCACAGGCGGCGACGGGAUGGGGCGGCCCAGGGACCUGGCCACGGGCGUCGGGCCCCUCCCGCGGCCCAGCACCGCUGCGCGCUCAGGGCUAGACCGGCUCCCCGCGAGGGACUGCGAACGCAGGUGACAAAGACAAAAAUUAAAGCCAGGAAACAGUUUGCUCUGCUGAAGCACAAGCUUGUGGAUCAGACCACGUCCCUGCACCGUUUGGGGCCGAAUCCGAACUGUCCCGGGCUUCCUGGGCCCCGACAGCGCGAGGUCGCGGUCCCCGCACUUCCCACGCUCCAGCCUGACGCAGCCCGCUCGCUUAGGCCAGGACGUGGUUUAAUUCUUGCAUAGCACUUUGCACUCACUGUGUUGUAUUCUCUUGCUGAUCCGUCUGUCCAUUUAUUUUGUUUUGUUUUGAGACAGGGUCUCCCUAUGUAGUUCAGGCUGGCCCUGAACUCACUGUGUAGCCCAGGCUGGCCUGGAACUCCUGGAGACCCUCCUGCCUCAGCCUCGUAUUAAUUAUGACGCUGCCUCCCACUUGCUAGAAUGGGUGCCGUGUUUGCUUGGUGUCCCCAACACCUGCAACACGGGGCAGUGUUCAGUCCUCACGUGCGUGUGAGAGGGACAGUGUCCUUGCCACCCCACCGCUCCAGGGAGGCACACACCGCCUAGGCUGAAUUGUGACUCUAGGAUGCUAUGGAAGGGACAAAGUGUGUGUGGGGGGGCUAAGUGGGGUGCCCAGAAAAUGCCAGCCUGAACGGAGUCUUGAAGGGGAGCUAAUUUCAGCAGAGGGCUGAGUGUCCAAGCCAACGGUGGCCCUGGAGAAGCCACCAAACUCGUGCUGGGCUGAAGGUCCCAGAGGUGACAGGUGAAGUUAGAGGAGAGGCGGAGGCCAAAUCCCAGAUCCUCGGGCCCGCUGGGCCUGCGGCCUCCGAGCCGUGCAGGGUGGCGGCGGGGUCCUCGUAAACCUGUCACGACUCGCACCAGGCGGAAAGUCACUCGCAGAUGGAAAGAAAAAAGGAGGGGGAUAGAAAGAGAAGAAGAAAGCAGGAGGCUCCGUCUGUCCUAAUUCUUCUUCCACGACGCUUUCUCCUUGGUCAAAGUCCCUAUGCAGGAGGAAGGAAAGCAAAGCGAAAGGGAAAAGACGCUUGCUGGUUUGGCCUGGUGAGGUGGUGUAUGCCUGAGAUCCCGGCACGUCGAGCCUUGUUUCACACACACCCCCCAUCUCGUUUAAUGACUUGAUUUCUGGAGAGGCUGCCAAGAGCUCGUUUGGAUAUACUUUUGUACCUUCGGGGAUUACAUGGGUUGAAGGGUGCCUGGGUAUCUCUUAGAAAGUAUUUUUCUUCUCUGCAGAAACUAUAUAUAAAGCCUAAUUGUAGAAACUCAUGCUACAUUGCAGAUCCAUUUGAUUUGUAAAUAUAUUUAGUUUUUUUUCCCAAUGAUUAAAGAGCCUUAUUUCUUGUCAGACUUCUUUUUUUUUUUUUUUUUUUUUUUUUGAGACAAGGUCUCACUAUGUAGUUCAGGCUGGCCUUGAACUCACAGUGAUCCUCCUGCCUCAGCCUUCCAUGAAUCCCCCUCAAAAUCCUCCCCCUUGCCUUGAACACAUUUAUCCCAUGUUCUGGUCACUUUCUGCCCCUGCUCUGGAGUCCUCUUUUCUGAGUGAUCAAAAAUACAGUGAGUGCUGCUGUUGAGUGCCAUCUAAGGGAAAGGCAGCUCCUAAAAACACGACGCUGCGUCCUCAUCCAUGGUCUGGCACCACCGUGUGAUUUCUGACUCAUCCCCAAAGUCAAAAUGCCUGUGAAAGUUCAAAGUUUUGAACAGAUUCGGGACAUCGAGGCAGCCACAACCACACAACUCAGGGCUCCGGCUGCUGUGCCAUCUGCCACAAGGUCCUCCUCCGGGCUGAGCUGACCUACACACCUGUGAGCUAAGUAAAUUCCUUUAUAAAGUCACCUGGCAGGGUGUGGUGGUGCACAGCAGUAAUCCCAGCACUCGGGAGGUUGAGGCAGGAGGAUCGCCUUGAGUUCCAGGCCAG